AUAGUGUUUUCUCAUUCUAGAGCAUUGUUAUUGGCAGAGUUGGACGGUUGUUCAUAUCUCUUUCUUUCCCCAACCUCAUAUUUUCCAUCAGAAUACCACCUGCUUCACCGACUUUCCUCCACCGCCUGCUUUCCACCUCCCACCAGAUCAACAGGUUUUUCUCUUUCUCAUGAAAACCCUCUGGUUAGAUCCAGCAGCGACGCAACAUGAACAGACCAGAUCAACAAAGCCUUGAGAUGUUAGGGUUUGGUAUGGGAUUAUGACGGCUAGAACUCGGUUGAUUUCGACAAAUUCCGGUUAGCUCCGGUGAGAACCGGGUGACCUGAACCAGGGCCUUGGCGGUGGCCAGGUGCAUUUCGGCGCCUGGUUUGCCUUUCUGCUUCAACUCUUGGUUUUCUCACGCCAGGGUUUGACACCUAUUCAACAUCACAUGUUCAUCGUCUUAUCCCGUUGUUUAUACGAGGGAUUAGGAUUUUGAACUUUAACCCCUGCAUUCGGUGGGUUUUGCUUCUUCUCCGGCGAGAAUUCCGACGAUUAUAGUUGAGCAUCGUUUGAUGCCUGUGUUUUUUUAUGCAUGUUUGUCUCCGACUGAUCUUUUGUUGGUCAUAGUAGACGCCUAUGUUUUGGUUGUCGCUGGUGGCUUUGUAAAUCGUCGUGUGUACCACUCUAAAAGGUAGUUCAGGAGGUGAUGAUUCAAAUGGUGGUGACGCCAUGGUUUUAUAACUGGCGGUGGUGGUGUUUCUGACCAGUCACCCUCUAACUGUGGCUAGGGUUUCGCCGUGAUGUAUUUUGCGGCUACUCUGGUGACGAUGAUGGUACAACAAUGGUUACCUGAGUCUCUUUGGUUUUGGUGCUUACGCUGCUACUAUGGUGGCGGUAGUGGCGAUACCUAUGGUGGUGGUUGUCAUUGUUCUGGUAAUAGUGUUUUUCUGUAAAUUUGUUUAUAGGCUGUGAUGAUCGGGAAAAAAACGGGACAGCAAAGAUCGGAGUCGUACCUUGGCGGGGCAAUAUCCAAAUGGCAUAGUUGAUAUUUACUGUGACUAUGCAACUGUGAAUUUGCAGCCAUGGCUUAACCCAGAUCUAUUUUGUUCCAAUUCCACAAUUACAUAUCUGAGCCUAUUCGUUUUGUUUCCAUUUAUUGUGUCAUACACCUUUUUUGAGAAGUUGAUAAAAAAUCUUAUUCCUAAACUAUCAAAACAGAUGGUAUUAAUAGUUUCUUUGUGUAUCAAAUUAACCUCAUAAUAGAUAAAAAUUAAUGAAUGUUAUGCUAUUGUUUCGCUAUUGACUGACUGUAGUUCUUUUGAAUUUCAGCUUUGUAGACGCGGUUUAGCGUCCAGUAUUUUGGUUCUUGGGUUGGCAUGCGUGUACAUAUACUCUUUAUGACUUAUAAAGUUUUCUUUUUUUGCAGUUUUCGAUUUAGUAGCUAUAGCUAUAGUGUUGAAACUUUGAAAUUCGUUGAUAACCCAGUGACCCAUUUAGACGCGCAUAAAAGUGAACUCCUUUCGACCCAAUCCUUUAACUUUCUAAUAAUGUUUAUUAGAAAUCUUGAAUUGCCGGGAGGUUGAGGCAGGUUUAAUGGAGUACAAGCCAAACAUUAUCAUUAGUGCUAUGUCCUUCAGAAGAGGUGUCAAAGUCUAGAACCAAACCAAGUAUGCGUUUUUGAAUUGUCUGUUCGGCCCUCUUUUGCCUGUGCUGUUCUCAACAAGGGAAAUACAAGUGGACAACAUAUUUGGUCAGCACUCAGCAUGAUGAAUGAGUUCACAAAGCGUUUGUGUAUGCGGGAUGUGGAUGUUUGCUUUGUAGAAUGACUUACGAGUAGAGCUAGAAUUGGAUCCGAUACUACCUGCCGUUUGUUAAUGGGAAGUGAAUUAAGUCAACUUUCCCAGCUGCAUCCCGUGGGCCAGAGUUGAAGCGUACGCAAGCAGGUCAGUAACCAAACUACCCAUUUCGAUUGAGGUGCAAAAAAGGUCAGUAGGGUUAACGGGCCUGGUUGGGUUUGAAACUGAAGAUCCUUAAAUGUAGGUUUUUUAAAGCAUAGUCCUUUUAAAUAUAAUUGCCAGGGGUGAAAUGGUGCUAGCAGGUCAGUAACCAAACUUGCCAUUUCACUAGCGAUGCAAAAAUGGGCGGUCCCAAGGGGUAUUAUCGGGUUGGGUUUCAUACUAAAAAAUUCUUAAAUCUAGGUUUUUAAUGCUUAAUUCCUUUUUAAUAUGAUCUCUAUAAAUGAAAUGGAUGCAAGCAACUAACCAAACUUAAUACUUCACUAGAGGUGCAAAAAUGGAUCGUCCCUAGGGGUCUUAACAGGUCGGGUCAGGUUUCACACUCACGAUCCUUAAAUUUAUGUUUUAAGGUAUAAUUCUUUUUAAUACAAUUGCUUGGAUGCAAGUGGGUUGGUAACCCAACCAAACAUUUCACUAGAGGUUUAAAUAUGGAUGGUCCCUAGAGGUCUAAACGGGUCGGGUAGGAUUUCAAACUAAAGAUCGUUAAAUCUAUGUUCUUAAAGCAUAAUCUUCUUUAAUACAAUUGCUGGAAGUGAAAUGGAUGCAAGUGAGUCAUUAACCAAACUUCUCAUUUCACUAGAUGCACAAAGAAUGAAUGGUCCGGGGUAUUUCCGGACCGGGUUGGAGCAAGUUUGAAACUUAAGAUAUUUAAAUAUUGGUUUUUACAUCAUAAUCCCUUACUAAAGCACAUUCCUUUUUAACCAUAAUCAUGUUAUUUAACAGUCAGGAAGGUAAUGUAGAUCAUCGACUUCAUUAAAUAAAAUGGAUUGUUUAUCGAAAAAUAGUGAUUUUAUUGUUACCAGAUGUUAUCAUCUAUCAUUAACCUUUUUAUAUGCUUUAGACUUUUUAUAUGCUUUAGACGAGAUUCGUAUUGAGAGCUUAGUUCAUAUUAUACCUAACAAAGCUAGCAACACAUUGAGCAUCAUUGAUGGUGGAGGUGGAACGCCAAGGCUGGUGAACAAUCUUGGUACCGUUACAAGAUUUGUCCCUGGGAUUUCAUGGAAGCUAUUGUUGGUGGUGCUAAUGUUGUCUCCAUGGCGAAUUACCUUCAAAGAGUUUCAAAGAGUUUGAAGGAAGUAACAACUCUUUAGGUUCCACUACAAUAGUUAAAAUUUGUGAACCAUGUUGUCUCCAUGGCGAAUUCCCUGGUUACCAAUUAUUUUUUUUCUCCGAAAAGUAUAUUUUUAUCUUCGUCUCGAUAUAUUUUAUC